UAGGGAAUCUUCGGCAAUGGGGGGAACCCUGACCGAGCAACGCCGCGUGAGUGAAGUAGGUUUUCGGAUCGUAAAGCUCUGUUGUUAAGGAAGAACGAGUGUGAGAAUGGAAAGUUCAUGCUGUGACGGUACUUAACCAGAAAGGGACGGCUAACUACGUGCCAGCAGCCGCGGUAAUACGUAGGUGGCAAGCGUUGUCCGGAUUUAUUGGGCGUAAAGCGAGCGCAGGCGGUCAAUUAAGUCUGAUGUGAAAGCCCCCGGCUCAACCGGGGAGGGUCAUUGGAAACUGGUUGACUUGAGUGCAGAAGAGGAGAGUGGAAUUCCAUGUGUAGCGGUGAAAUGCGUAGAUAUAUGGAGGAACACCGGUGGCGAAAGCGGCUCUCUGGUCUGUAACUGACGCUGAGGCUCGAAAGCGUGGGGAGCGAACAGG
rnacentral:rRNA from 1 species